rnacentral:rRNA from 1 species
UGUAAAAUUUUAUAGGUCGAACAGACCUAAUUUAUAAACACCUACAUUUAUAAUUAAUUUUAAUUCAACAUCGAGGUCGCAAACAUUUUUUUCAAUUUGAUCUUUCCAAAAAUAUUACGCUGUUAUCCCUAAGGUAAUUUAUUCUUAAUUUAUAAAUUAUAUUUCAUCUUUUCUAUUAAUUAAUAUUUUAAAAUUUUAAAGUUUAUUAAAUUUAAAAAUCCUCCCAAUUAAAUAUAAUUAUUAAUUUUAUUAAUUACAAUUAUAUAAAAUUCUAUAGGGUCUUAUCGUCCCUCAAAAAUACUUAAGCAUUUUAACUUAAAAUUUAAAUUCAUUUUAUAAAAUUGAGACAGUUUAUAUUUCAUUAAUUCAUUCAUUCCAGCCUUUAAUUAAAAGACAAAUGAUUAUGCUACCUUUGUACAGUCAAAAUACUGCAGCUAUUUAAUUACUCAUUGAGCAGAACUGACUUUAAAUUAAAAUUUCAAAAAGAC